CCUACGGGCGGCAGCAGUAGGGAAUAUUGGUCAAUGGGCGAAAGCCUGACCCAGCAACGCCGCGUGGAGGAAGAAGGCUUUCGGGUUGUAAACUCCUUUUGUGAGGGACGAUAAUGACGGUAUCUCACGAAUAAGCACCGGCUAACUCCGUGCCAGCAGCCGCGGUAAUACGGAGGGGGCAAGCGUUACCCGGAUUUACUGGGCGUAAAGGGCGUGUAGGCGGGAUUGUAAGUCAGAUGUGAAAACUUAGGGCUUAACCCAUAACCUGCAUUUGAAACUGUCGUUCUAGAGUGUGGGAGAGGUAGGUGGAAUUCUUGGUGUAGGGGUGAAAUGCGUAGAUAUAAAGAGGAACACUCGUGGCGAAGGCGGCCUGCUGGAACAUAACUGACGCUGAGGCGCGAAAGCGUGGGGAGCAAACAGGAUUAGAUACCCGAGUAGUC
rnacentral:rRNA from 1 species